GGGACCGUAGGGUAGCAUGGUCCAUCCUCCCAGCCAUUGACGCUGGAGACCCGAGUUCAAAUCUCGGCGGUCCCA
rnacentral:tRNA from 1 species